GGUUAAGCGACUAAGCGUACACGGUGGAUGCCCUGGCAGUCAGAGGCGAUGAAGGACGUGCUAAUCUGCGAUAAGCGUCGGUGAGGUGAUAUGAACCGUUAUAACCGGCGAUUUCCGAAUGGGGAAACCCAGUGUGUUUCGACACACUAUCAUUAACUGAAUCCAUAGGUUAAUGAGGCGAACCGGGGGAACUGAAACAUCUAAGUACCCCGAGGAAAAGAAAUCAACCGAGAUUCCCCCAGUAGCGGCGAGCGAACGGGGAGGAGCCCAGAGCCUGAAUCAGUGUGUGUGUUAGUGGAAGCGUCUGGAAAGGCGCGCGAUACAGGGUGACAGCCCCGUACACAAAAAUGCACAUAUUGUGAGCUCGAUGAGUAGGGCGGGACACGUGGUAUCCUGUCUGAAUAUGGGGGGACCAUCCUCCAAGGCUAAAUACUCCUGACUGACCGAUAGUGAACCAGUACCGUGAGGGAAAGGCGAAAAGAACCCCGGCGAGGGGAGUGAAAAAGAACCUGAAACCGUGUACGUACAAGCAGUGGGAGCCUCUUAAUGGGGUGACUGCGUACCUUUUGUAUAAUGGGUCAGCGACUUAUAUUCUGUAGCAAGGUUAACCGAAUAGGGGAGCCGAAGGGAAACCGAGUCUUAACUGGGCGUUAAGUUGCAGGGUAUAGACCCGAAACCCGGUGAUCUAGCCAUGGGCAGGUUGAAGGUUGGGUAACACUAACUGGAGGACCGAACCGACUAAUGUUGAAAAAUUAGCGGAUGACUUGUGGCUGGGGGUGAAAGGCCAAUCAAACCGGGAGAUAGCUGGUUCUCCCCGAAAGCUAUUUAGGUAGCGCCUCGUGAAUUCAUCUCCGGGGGUAGAGCACUGUUUCGGCAAGGGGGUCAUCCCGACUUACCAACCCGAUGCAAACUGCGAAUACCGGAGAAUGUUAUCACGGGAGACACACGGCGGGUGCUAACGUCCGUCGUGAAGAGGGAAACAACCCAGACCGCCAGCUAAGGUCCCAAAGUCAUGGUUAAGUGGGAAACGAUGUGGGAAGGCCCAGACAGCCAGGAUGUUGGCUUAGAAGCAGCCAUCAUUUAAAGAAAGCGUAAUAGCUCACUGGUCGAGUCGGCCUGCGCGGAAGAUGUAACGGGGCUAAACCAUGCACCGAAGCUGCGGCAGCGACACUAUGUGUUGUUGGGUAGGGGAGCGUUCUGUAAGCCUGUGAAGGUGUACUGUGAGGUAUGCUGGAGGUAUCAGAAGUGCGAAUGCUGACAUAAGUAACGAUAAAGCGGGUGAAAAGCCCGCUCGCCGGAAGACCAAGGGUUCCUGUCCAACGUUAAUCGGGGCAGGGUGAGUCGACCCCUAAGGCGAGGCCGAAAGGCGUAGUCGAUGGGAAACAGGUUAAUAUUCCUGUACUUGGUGUUACUGCGAAGGGGGGACGGAGAAGGCUAUGUUGGCCGGGCGACGGUUGUCCCGGUUUAAGCGUGUAGGCUGGUUUUCCAGGCAAAUCCGGAAAAUCAAGGCUGAGGCGUGAUGACGAGGCACUACGGUGCUGAAGCGACAAAUGCCCUGCUUCCAGGAAAAGCCUCUAAGCAUCAGGUAACAUCAAAUCGUACCCCAAACCGACACAGGUGGUCAGGUAGAGAAUACCAAGGCGCUUGAGAGAACUCGGGUGAAGGAACUAGGCAAAAUGGUGCCGUAACUUCGGGAGAAGGCACGCUGAUAUGUAGGUGAAGCGACUUGCUCGUGGAGCUGAAAUCAGUCGAAGAUACCAGCUGGCUGCAACUGUUUAUUAAAAACACAGCACUGUGCAAACACGAAAGUGGACGUAUACGGUGUGACGCCUGCCCGGUGCCGGAAGGUUAAUUGAUGGGGUUAGCGGUAACGCGAAGCUCUUGAUCGAAGCCCCGGUAAACGGCGGCCGUAACUAUAACGGUCCUAAGGUAGCGAAAUUCCUUGUCGGGUAAGUUCCGACCUGCACGAAUGGCGUAAUGAUGGCCAGGCUGUCUCCACCCGAGACUCAGUGAAAUUGAACUCGCUGUGAAGAUGCAGUGUACCCGCGGCAAGACGGAAAGACCCCGUGAACCUUUACUAUAGCUUGACACUGAACAUUGAGCCUUGAUGUGUAGGAUAGGUGGGAGGCUUUGAAGUGUGGACGCCAGUCUGCAUGGAGCCGACCUUGAAAUACCACCCUUUAAUGUUUGAUGUUCUAACGUGGGCCCCUUACCGGGGUUGCGGACAGUGUCUGGUGGGUAGUUUGACUGGGGCGGUCUCCUCCUAAAGAGUAACGGAGGAGCACGAAGGUUGGCUAAUCCUGGUCGGACAUCAGGAGGUUAGUGCAAUGGCAUAAGCCAGCUUGACUGCGAGCGUGACGGCGCGAGCAGGUGCGAAAGCAGGUCAUAGUGAUCCGGUGGUUCUGAAUGGAAGGGCCAUCGCUCAACGGAUAAAAGGUACUCCGGGGAUAACAGGCUGAUACCGCCCAAGAGUUCAUAUCGACGGCGGUGUUUGGCACCUCGAUGUCGGCUCAUCACAUCCUGGGGCUGAAGUAGGUCCCAAGGGUAUGGCUGUUCGCCAUUUAAAGUGGUACGCGAGCUGGGUUUAGAACGUCGUGAGACAGUUCGGUCCCUAUCUGCCGUGGGCGCUGGAGAACUGAGGGGGGCUGCUCCUAGUACGAGAGGACCGGAGUGGACGCAUCACUGGUGUUCGGGUUGUCAUGCCAAUGGCACUGCCCGGUAGCUAAAUGCGGAAGAGAUAAGUGCUGAAAGCAUCUAAGCACGAAACUUGCCCCGAGAUGAGUUCUCCCUGACUCCUUGAGAGUCCUGAAGGAACGUUGAAGACGACGACGUUGAUAGGCCGGGUGUGUAAGCGCAGCGAUGCGUUGAGCUAACCGGUACUAAUGAACCGUGAGGCUUAACCUUACAACGCCGAAGAUGUUUUG
rnacentral:rRNA from 2 species